GCAAAGUGAGUUAUUGAAAGAUUAGUUUAAACAAAGUCCCACAUCGACUAAAUUGAGAACUUCACCAUUUUCUAAACCUAUAAAUAGAAGGGCUUGGCCUUUGUUUCAUUCACCAACAAUAAGGCCUCCAAUUUUUGAGAAAGGCUUUGUUGUGGGAGAACUUUUUAUAAAGAUCUCCUUAGUUAAAUUUUGGCGUGGAAGUGCGUAUUUAGUUUGUGGAAUUCGUAUUUCCGGGUAUGUUUCAUAUUUAAUUUUUGUAAUGUUAUUAUUUUAAAUAUUGUGUGUAAUUGUUAGUUAAAGUUUGAAUUUUUGAAGUUUAGUUAGUUUUGUUA
rnacentral:lncRNA from 1 species